GCAAACUUGGUCAUUUAGAGGAAGUAAAAGUCGUAACAAGGUUUCCGUAGGUGAACCUGCGGAAGGAUCAUUAACAAAUCCUGGAAAUUGUUUUGUGUAUGGAUGGAUGAUGGUGGAGGGAGUUGUAUUUUAUUUCAUUUGAAUCAAGGAAUAUAUUCAUUCCUGUUCAUUUGAUAUACUAUUUAUCACACCCAUUCAUUCACCCAUUCAUUCAUUCAUCAUAAACAAUUACACACGUUCCAUGUACAUUCAUUUGUGCAUGAUAACAUUUCUACGAAUCAUCUGAUUGUCACAUCAUUAAUUUAUUCAUUAAAGACUUUUAACAAUGGAUCUCUAGGCUCUUGCAUCGAUGAAGAACGCAGC
rnacentral:misc_RNA from 1 species